AGAAUCAACGCUGGCGGCGUGCCUAACACAUGCAAGUCGAACGAGAAAGUGGAGCAAUCCAUGAGUAAAGUGGCGCACGGGUGAGUAACACGUGACUAACCUACCCUUGAGUGGGGGAUAACCUAGGGAAACCUGGGCUAAUACCGCAUAACACUUACGAGUCAAAGCAGCAAUGCGCUGAAAGGGGGGUCGCGGCCGAUUAGCUAGUUGGCGGGGUAAUGGCCCACCAAGGCAGUGAUCGGUA
rnacentral:rRNA from 1 species